rnacentral:rRNA from 1 species
GAUCCUGGCUCAGGAUGAACGCUAGCGACAGGCCUAACACAUGCAAGUCGAGGGGCAGCGGAGAGGUAGCAAUACCUUUGCCGGCGACCGGCGCACGGGUGAGUAACACGUAUGCAAUCCACCUGUAACAGGGGGAUAACCCGGAGAAAUCCGGACUAAUACCCCAUAAUAUGGGCUCUCCGCAUGGAGGGUCCAUUAAAGAGAGCAAUUUUGGUUACAGACGAGCAUGCGCUCCAUUAG